rnacentral:tmRNA from 1 species
GGGGGUGAAUCAGCUUCGACGUUGGGGUUCGGCGAUAUGGUAGCAGGCCGAGCUGCGAGCUCUCGUAAAACGAUCGCACGGCAACAAACGCCAACAACGAAUACGCUCUGGCUGCCUAAUCUAGGCUAGUCACGGCCCCGGGGAUGUCGCCGAUGCAGGCCCCGGAAGCCGUCAUCAAGUUCGGCUGGCAUGCGAGACGGCGCCCCCGACCGCAUGCGAGAUCUGUGGGGCUGCUGCGCAGGGUAAGCCCCGUUCCGAGACGUCCCCGCGAGUAAGGUAAAUUCGGAGCUGAGCCUGGAGAAGCCGAUCGCGCGGUUCCAGCGGACCCGGGUGGCAGUGCCCGGCACCUCCACCA